AAGUUAGAGCUUGCUAAAAGCGUUUUAUUUACACUAAGAAGUAAAUUGUGAAAUUCAGUUUUUCUUGAA
rnacentral:tRNA from 1 species